rnacentral:rRNA from 1 species
ACACUGGAACUGAGACACGGUCCAGACUCCUACGGGAGGCAGCAGUGGGGAAUAUUGCACAAUGGGGGAAACCCUGAUGCAGCCAUGCCGCGUGUGUGAAGAAGGCCUUCGGGUUGUAAAGCACUUUCAGCGAGGAGGAAAGGUCAAUAGCUAAUAUCUGCUGGCUGUGACGUUACUCGCAGAAGAAGCACCGGCUAACUCCGUGCCAGCAGCCGCGGUAAUACGGAGGGUGCAAGCGUUAAUCGGAAUUACUGGGCGUAAAGCGCACGCAGGCGGUUGGAUAAGUUAGAUGU